AUAAUGUAAAAAUAAAAUACUCUAAUCUAUAUAAAAUAAAGUAAAUUUUCUUCCCUAUAUUUACUUAUUUUACUUUUCAUAAAAAUCAUUAAAAUAUAAAAAAAUGUUAGCUUCUUAUUUAAUAAUAUUCUUAUUGGCAACAUUACCUUAUCUUUCUAGUGGGGAAGCCGAUCCUUGGCUAAAUUUUCAUCAUGAGGACGGAUACAACAGAAAUCCUGGAUUAUUUGACUAUUUUUGUGCCAAUAGAUGCCCAAAUUCUCAAAAUCCACGUUGUGCUGAUUGCCCUCCUAAUUCAAAGAAAUAAUUAAGAGAAUCCAUGAUCAUAUAAACAAUAUCUACCCCCCCCCCCAACCACUCUCCUAUUUCUGAUACUAUUAUCAAAAUUUGUCAACUUGUAUUUUUAUAACAUGCCUUUAUCAAUCAAUUUAUGGGCUACUUAAGCUUUCUAUCUAAAUCCAAAAUUCUUGGAAUUUAUUAACAAAUAAUAUUAUAAUAAAUAACUUGCACAUUUUUACAUUUUUAAAUGUUACUCGUUUUUUACGAUAUUAUUUUAUGUUAAGAUUAAUAAUU